rnacentral:lncRNA from 1 species
AGAACAACUGAGAGUGGCCUCUCGCGCUUUCCCCCAGUUCUCCCUUAAAAAUACUUGGGGGAAGAAAGUGCUUGACUACUCACAGUCCUGUGAUGACCUGUGGCGGAAGGUAAACCGAAGGUGACUGCGGUUAACGUCCUCGAUGGGAAUGGCCACCUUCAAGAAUUGAAAAAGAAGUUUAAGCACUGUUAUCAAUAUCAUCCAGCGUAACAGCUUUAUUCAACUGGAGCUAUCAGCUCAGCGCCCUGCCCUGCGUGGAAGGAACUGAGACAGUCACAGGCCUGUUCUCCAGCAGCCUGCCUUCUGAGCAGCACUGGGAGAGAAAUAUGCAACUGCGAAGUUCUCACGGGAGAAGUCCUGAGCACACUGCAAGGCAUCCUGGGACCACAGUCUCAAGGGUCACAGAGGAAGGGACUUCGGGGCUGAGACCUGCAGGAAGUGAGGGAACUGCAGGCCUGUCCUCACCCAGGGGAGGUGGAGCCCCCAGACGCUGUGAUAUGAAAUUCCAGAUCAUGGGAGGGAGAGUUUGAAGAAGGAAGAACCACCAAUAGAAAGCGGUCCCCAAAGAGGUAUCGGGGAUGGCACCCAGACAGGAGCACAUGUACCACUGCCCAGAAUGUGCAUUUCACUAGACAAGUGACCACAAAAGGCGGAGCACAGAGGACUUUUAGGAUGGUGAAGCUACCCAGUGAGAGACUACAAUGAGAUAAUUGGUCUUUCACAUUCCUCGUGCUGUCACCAAAAAUAACAGAGCAACAGCAGGGUGGAGGAAGAGCACCAGCACGGUGGAGGAAGAGCACCAACAUGGCAGAUAAAGAGCACCAACAUGGCGGAGGAAGAGCACCAACAUGGCGGAGAAAGAGCACCAACAUGGCAGAGGAAAAGCACCAACAUGGCGGAGGAAGAACACCAACAUGGCGGAGGAAGAACACCAACAUGGCGGAGAAACAGCACCAACAUGGCGGAUGAAGAGCACCAACAUGAAGCUAACCGCGUUCUCUUCACAGUUUGCCUUUCUUCCUCUUCUUCGUUGCUUUGACCGUCCUGCACAUAUCCAUUCUUAUGUCCAUCACCAAGACCUGAAAACCUCCACUGACUGGCUUCCCUACAGACUGAGAAUAUGGCAGAAAAGCUUAUAAAUCACAGCUGUGCAUUGUCCAAUCAACAUUCAACAGUGAUUCUUUUGAAAGUGACUGUGAAGAUCUGAAACUCUCAAGGAAACACAGAGAAAUAGAUUACCAGCCACUCCAAAAGGUCGCCGCAACCCCGAGGAAACCACUGUAUAAUCAAAAACAACAAGCCUGCCCAACAAGCAGCUGCAGGACUUUAGGAAGUUUUCUAUGUUCUCAAGAAAUGAACGUACCGACUUCCUUCCAGAGCCCUGGCUUGGUGGUAAUAACAUUAGCAUAUGAGAAAUCAACACUCUGAAUAGAAAUACAAGCUUAACAAAAGGUAAUCUACUGCAAAUAUGAAUUUAUGUGCAAAGAAAUGCCCCGAGGGAAUACGAAAUGGAAGAUGUCAGAGCUUCAACCUCUCUGCAUUAAUAAGACUUCUUCUGUGAUCAGGAGAACUGGACAAUUGCACACGAAGCUAGAAUGUAAAAUAUUUCCCUAUUCCUGUCA